GCCCAGGUGGCGGAAUUGGUAGACGCGCAGGACUUAAAAUCCUGUGAUCAUUGUGAUCGUGCCGGUUCGAAACCGGCCCCGGGUA
rnacentral:tRNA from 1 species